CUAAGUAAAAAAAGAGAAGGGAAGAAGAAUCAAAACCACAAUGGAGUCCCUCUCUUGAGAUCAUAUUGAUGAUCCAAGUAGCUCCCAUCCUUUGGAAUAAGCAACCACAAAGCAUAAGCAACCAAACAAAUCUCAUAAGAGAUCCUCAAUGUGUCUUGUAUCUUUCACUUUGGAUGAACAUGGUAAUGGUCCUCCAAUUAAGCUCUCAUGGAAUUCCCUAGCACAAAAGCAC
rnacentral:lncRNA from 1 species